GAUGAACGCUGGCGGCGUGCCUAAUACAUGCAAGUUGAGCGAACAGACGAGGAGCUUGCUCCUUUGACGUUAGCGGCGGACGGGUGAGUAACACGUAGGUAACCUACCUAUAAGACUGGGAUAACUUCGGGAAACCGGAGCUAAUACCGGAUAAUAUUUCGAACCGCAUGGUUCGAUAGUGAAAGAUGGCUUUGCUAUCACUUAUAGAUGGACCUGCGCCGUAUUAGCUAGUUGGUAAGGUAACGGCUUACCAAGGCAACGAUACGUAGCCGACCUGAGAGGGUGAUCGGCCACACUGGAACUGAGACACGGUCCAGACUCCUACGGGAGGCAGCAGUAGGGAAUCUUCCGCAAUGGGCGAAAGCCUGACGGAGCAACGCCGCGUGAGUGAUGAAGGUCUUCGGAUCGUAAAACUCUGUUAUUAGGGAAGAACAAACGUGUAAGUAACUGUGCACGUCUUGACGGUA
rnacentral:rRNA from 1 species